UGCUAACUCACACGCCGCACCCAGACAGUUCACUCUCUCAAUUACCCAGCGGAAACAGUUCCGAGGUAGUGACGAGAAGUAACAAUACACGGCAUUUUAUGCUUUGGAAUUGGGAUGAUGGAAUGUAAAACCCUUCCAGAGUAACAAUUGGAGGGCACGUCUGGUGCCACCAGCCGCGGUAAUUCCAGCUCCAAUAGUG
rnacentral:ncRNA from 1 species